rnacentral:sRNA from 1 species
GAUGUCCAUCGAGUGUGAAAUUUGGAUCCGGAGAACCCAAACUCCAUAUCUGUUUUCGGUCAAGAGAUGCACUUGCAAAAGUGUUAGUAUCCUUUGGAUUGAAAGUAACUUGCAUCACGUAGUGUGAAUGUCCCUCAAAGAUUUGAGUGCACAUCCACCCUUUAUCCCAGUCCCACAAUUUUAUCAACAUGUCAUCAGAUGAUGAAAGCACAUAUGGAAGUGUUGGAUGGACUGCAACACAUCUAAUAUAAUCAGUAUGAGCCUCAAAAACCUUAACUUUGUCCAUCGUGUUGUAGUUGUAGACACGAAUGAACAUAUCGUCUGCACCAGCUACAACCCAUUGUUUCCGUGAAAUAAAUUUUGCUGACCGCACUGAAAUUAAGAUCAGAUACAAGUUAGCAUCAAUUCAACCUCUAUGACAGAUUUUCAUUUCAUGUGAACAUAAGCAGAUGAAAAUGCAGGUCACUUGCCAUGGCUCCGUGGGGUGCAGAUCCACCGACUUGACCCUCUCCGACCGUUGCGCAAACUUCCUCU